rnacentral:rRNA from 1 species
AAGGGGAGCAAUCCCUGAGUACAGUGGCGACCGGGUGAGUAACACGUGACUACCUACCCUUGAGUGGGGGAUAACCUCGGGAAACCGAGGCUAAUACCGCAUAACAUCGCAAGAUCAAAGGAGAAAUCCGCUCUUGGAGGGGGUCGCGGCUGAUUAGCUAGUUGGUGAGGUAAUGGCUCACCAAGGCGAAGAUCGGUAUCCGGCCUGAGAGGGCGCACGGACACACUGGAACUGAAACACGGUCCAGACUCCUACGGGAGGCAGCAGUGGGGAAUUUUGCGCAAUGGGGGAAACCCUGACGCAGCAACGCCGCGUGGAGGAUGAAGCUCCUUGGA